ACCUGGUGCGCGGCUCCGGACCUGGCGACCCACGACCGGCUGGUCACUUGCUGCCACCUCGCAAAGGCGCAUCUCUAGUUCAGUGGCCAUGUGCUCAUUUCCACUUACCUGGCAGGGGAGAGACCGUGGUCACGAAGGGGGUUCUCCCAGAGUGAAGCUUCUUCAUCUCACUCUAGAGUUGCUGAUCCCUGUGAUUUCCUCCAUGUGGGAAACGGUGUUUGUGCUAGAAGAGGCUGCGCUCUUUACCUGACAUAACGGGGUUCAAGACUGACAACGCCUCACGCCCACCCGAAAACGUUUACAUGGCUUCCUUGUCUCUUUUUUUUUCUGUCCUAAAGUCGCCUCAUCUUCACAUCCCCUCUUUUUUUUCUUCCACACUCGAGAGUGUCUCUCUCUCUCAGUAAAAGCUCCACCAAAUAUUUGAAAUAUCUCAA
rnacentral:lncRNA from 1 species